CGAUGAUGCCCAGCUUGCUGGGUGGAUUAGUGGCGAACGGGUGAGUAACACGUGAGUAACCUGCCCCUGACUCUGGGAUAAGCGUUGGAAACGACGUCUAAUACUGGAUAUGACUACCGGCCGCAUGGUCUGGUGGUGGAAAGAUUUUUUGGUUGGGGAUGGACUCGCGGCCUAUCAGCUUGUUGGUGAGGUAAUGGCUCACCAAGGCGACGACGGGUAGCCGGCCUGAGAGGGUGACCGGCCACACUGGGACUGAGACACGGCCCAGACUCCUACGGGAGGCAGCAGUGGGGAAUAUUGCACAAUGGGCGAAAGCCUGAUGCAGCAACGCCGCGUGAGGGAUGACGGCCUUCGGGUUGUAAACCUCUUUUAGUAGGGAAGAAGCGA
rnacentral:rRNA from 1 species